rnacentral:lncRNA from 1 species
GGGGAUUCACUGGCCGUGCCCCUCUCCUUCUAAGGGACAUGGUGCUGAUUCUACACGGGUUCCCGUCUGCUGUGGCCGCCCUUCGGCUCCACCACCACACAUGCCCAUUGCCUUUGGACCGCCACCACCCCAGCCCUUGGUCCCAAAACGACCCGCUGCAAGUGAGGCUGACAGUGAGCGACGGCUGGAUCUAGGUGCCAAGGCCAGCUGCACUCUAUGUGCGCGUAUGCUGCAGGAUGAAGAGGGCCCCUUGUGUUGCCCCCAUCCUGGUUGUCCCCUAAGGGCCCAUAUCAUCUGCUUGGCAGAGGAGUUCCUGCAGGAAGAGCCUGGGCAGCUUCUGCCCCUAGAGGGCCAUUGUCCUAGCUGCAAGAAGUCACUACUUUGGGGAAACCUGGUUGGGCAGUGCCACGAGGACACCGAGGAGGAAGAGGUGGAUUUGGAAUUAGAGGAGGAACACUGGACAGACUUGCUGGAGACUUGAUCCUAAGUGUCCCCAACUUUGACCCCUGCACCUUUUCUGCCUCUCAAGUCAAUUGACAGCUUAACUUGGGCACAAUAAAAAGGCUGAGUUAGGG